GGGAGAUGAUGUUAACCUUUUCAAACCAGAGAGGUUUGCUGAAGGGAUAGCGAAAGCUACUAAGUACAAUGCAGCUGCAUUUAUGCCUUUUGGAUUGGGACCUCGAUCUUGCGUAGGCAUGAGCUUUGCAAUCACUGAAGUGAAAACUGCACUUUCCAUGAUUCUGCAACGCUAUACUUUCACCGUCUCCCCUACCUAUGUUCACGCACCUGCACCACGUCUUUCACUCAAGCCACAACAUGGGAUUCAGUUGUUGUUUCAUUCACUACAUUAUGAUGCUUAAAAUUCUAGGCUGUUG
rnacentral:lncRNA from 1 species